rnacentral:rRNA from 1 species
UAACAAAGAGAAGCAAAGCCGCGAGGUAGAGCAAAUCUCAAAAAAACAAUCUCAGUUCAGACUGCAGGCUGCAACUCGCCUGCACGAAGUCGGAAUUGCUAGUAAUCGUAGGUCAGCAUACUACGGUGAAUACGUUCCCGGGCCUUGUACACACCGCCCGUCAAACCAUGAGAGUUGGCAACACCCGAAGUCGGUAGUCUAACCGCAAGGAGGACGCCGCCGAAGGUGGGGUUGAUGAUUAGGGUUAAGUCGUAACAAGGUACC